rnacentral:lncRNA from 1 species
AAAAGAGGAGAUAAUAACAACGAAUUCUUCAAGUCUUAAGGGACAAGGUUUAAGUUGUGAGGGAAAUAAUUUUGGGAAAGAAAUUACAAAGCUGUAGUCUUUAUUUGGCGUCAAGGAGUGAAACCUGAAAACUUUAAAUACAUUGAUUUUAAUUUGUCUAUCAUUUUAGUGCCCUGAACUUUUUACAGACUUCAUAUCAAAUAGGUAAGGAGGGUGGCAGGGAAGACGCUCUGGAGGAAUGUAACAGCUCAUAAGAUUUUUGAGCAAGGAUAGCACGAGUGAUGGCUCUUAUACCAUAAUAAUUGAUUAAAAAACUACAAAUCGAUGGUUGAACUUAGAUACCUUGCAUCUCAAUCAGGACAUUUCAAAUUGUAUUAGAAGAAAAACAAACCUAGGUAUACCUAGAUGGAAAUUUUCUCAGACAGAGACACGAUAUUGAAAAUGCUCAAGACAUUAACUUGACUAUUCCUUCAAUUGCUGGCUUCCAGUUUCUCACAUUUGAAUAAAUGUGCAUAAUCUCCUCUCAUCACAAUUGGAAUGACUCGCCCAUGUAACUCAUUGGUUAUCUCCUACCUGUUACAACAUUGUCAUGGGUUUGAAAGCAGCUGUCCAAGCUCUUCAGUAAGUUGAUUUCUUCCCAAAACAUUUAAAAUAGUUCUCAAGCAAAGUCAUUCAUUUUAAAGCUAUUGUCAAAUGAGUAUAUCGACGGCGUAAGUCCGC